UACGGGGGGGGUAAGCGUUGUUCGGAAUUACUGGGCGUAAAGGGCUCGUAGGCGGCCAACUAAGUCAGACGUGAAAUCCCUCAGCUUAACUGGGGAACUGUGUCUGAUACUGGAUGGCUUGGAUUCGGGAGAGGAAUGCGGAAUUCCAGGUGUAGCGGUGAAAUGCGUAGAUAUCUGGAGGAACACCGGUGGCGAAGGCGGCAUUCUGGACCGACAUUGACGCUGAGGAGCGAAAGCCAGGGGAGCAAACGGG
rnacentral:rRNA from 1 species